GAUGAACGCUGGCGGCGUGCCUAAUACAUGCAAGUCGAGCGAACGGACGAGAAGCUUGCUUCUCUGAUGUUAGCGGCGGACGGGUAAGUAACACGUGGAUAACCUACCUAUAAGACUGGGAUAACUUCGGGAAACCGGAGCUAAUACCGGAUAAUAUUUUGAACCGCAUGGUUCAAAAGUGAAAGACGGUCUUGCUGUCACUUAUAGAUGGAUCCGCGCUGCAUUAGCUAGUUGGUAAGGUAACGGCUUACCAAGGCAACGAUGCAUAGCCGACCUGAGAGGGUGAUCGGCCACACUGGAACUGAGACACGGUCCAGACUCCUACGGGAGGCAGCAGUAGGGAAUCUUCCGCAAUGGGCGAAAGCCUGACGGAGCAACGCCGCGUGAGUGAUGAAGGUCUUCGGAUCGUAAAACUCUGUUAUUAGGGAAGAACAUAUGUGUAAGUAACUGUGCACAUCUUGACGGUACCUAAUCAGAAAGCCACGGCUAACUACGU
rnacentral:rRNA from 1 species